CCGGCUGGCGAAUUUGCCAGAAUGACCUCAAUAACCUCCGCCGAAUUGAAUUACCUCGUUUUCCGUUACCUUCAAGAGUCAGGUUUUACACAUUCAGCUUUUGCUUUAGGAUAUGAGGCAGGUAUUAACAAAUGUACCAUAGAUGGCAAUAUGGUUCCUCCUGGUGCUCUUAUUACAUUUGUACAAAAGGGAAUUCAGUACUUGGAAAUGGAAGCAAAUUUGAGUAAUGGUGAUGCAGAUGUGGAUGAAGAUUUCUCAUUCUUGCAACCUUUGGAUCUUAUAACAAAAGAUGUAUAUGAAUUACGGCAAAUGAUAAA
rnacentral:misc_RNA from 1 species